rnacentral:rRNA from 1 species
AUGUGAUCGUCUCUCGCAUAUCAAUAAGCGGAGGAAAAGAAACUAACAAGGAUUCCCCUAGUAACGGCGAGUGAAGCGGGAAGAGCUCAAAUUUGAAAUCUUAAAGGGUUUCCCUUUACGAAUUGUAGUUUAAAGAAGUGUUUUCUGUUGAGGUUUUGGUAAAAGUUCUUUGGAAUAGGACAUCAUAGAGGGUGAGAAUCCCGUAUUUGACCUUUACUUUCAACUUUGUGAUACACUUUCAAAGAGUCGGAUUGUUUGGGAAUGCAGUCCAAAAUGGGUGGUAAAUUUCAUCUAAAGCUAAAUAUUGGCGAGAGACCGAUAGCGAACAAGUACCGUGAGGGAAAGAUGAAAAGAACUUUGAAAAGAGAGUUAAACAGUACGUGAAAUUGUCAAAAGGGAAGCGUUUGACACCAGUGUUGUUUUUCUGAAAAUCAAUUAAAGAACUGUUUAUGCUAAGUUGUUUAGACUUUAUCAGCUAUCUGCUUAGUUUUGAGCUUUUCUUUAAUGCACUUUUCAGUUAACAAGUCAACAUCAAUUUCUUUUGCUGUAAAAAAGCUUGAGGAAGGUGGCUUGAGAUUCGUCUUAAGUGUUUAUAGCCUCUUGCCUAUGCAGUCGGAGAGAUUGAGGUCUGCAGCGUAGAUCCUUCGGGGCUAAAUGCAUUUGUGCUAAGUUAUAGCAUUUUAUAGACAACUUGUUGACUAUGAUUUGUCUUGUAGCUUACUCGCUUAUGUUAUUUUACCUACGCUUAGGAUGUUGAGUAGCGACAUACGCAC